AUUGAACGCUGGCGGCAGGCCUAACACAUGCAAGUCGAGCGGAUGAGUGGAGCUUGCUCCAUGAUUCAGCGGCGGACGGGUGAGUAAUGCCUAGGAAUCUGCCUGGUAGUGGGGGAUAACGUUUCGAAAGGAACGCUAAUACCGCAUACGUCCUACGGGAGAAAGCAGGGGACCUUCGGGCCUUGCGCUAUCAGAUGAGCCUAUGUCGGAUUAGCUAGUUGGGGAGGUAAAGGCUCACCAAGGCGACGAUCCGUAACUGGUCUGAGAGGAUGAUCAGUCAAACUGGAACUGAGACACGGUCCAGACUCCUACGGGAGGCAGCAGUGGGGAAUAUUGGACAAUGGGCGAAAGCCUGAUCCAGCCAUGCCGCGUGUGUGAAGAAGGUCUUCGGAUUGUAAAGCACUUUAAGUUGGGAGGAAGGGCAGUAAGUUAAUACCUUGCUGUUUUGACGUUACCGACAGAAUAAGCACCGGCUAACUUCGUGCCAGCCGCCGCAGUAACAC
rnacentral:rRNA from 1 species